rnacentral:lncRNA from 11 species
UGCAGCUAUUACUGGUUUACACCUGCUGAACCAUGGCCAUAAACUGUGAAGAGGAAUAAACCUGAAAUUGGCCUUUUAGAUAUGGUUGAAAAGAUGUAAUGUUGCGACGUUCAGCUGCCGUGUCAGAAAAGGUAUCUUGAAGGGCCAUAUGUGGCAUCCCAGGUUGUGGUUGUGUCAGAGAAGAGUUCUGCAUGGUGGCCAAGGUUACAACAAGGUAUCCCAGAACGUUUGCAUAAGAUCUCAAGCAAAUUCUCCCAGCUUCAGUACAAGAGAUGCUUUAAAGGGAGAAUUCUGGGAUUUUCUUCCUAGGAGCAACCUGGGACCUUCUUUCAAGACCAACCUCAGAACAUCUUCAGGGAUCAGUCAACUAAGCCAUUUUGCUGUCCGAGACAAAUGAUGAGAUGCCACCAACCUUCCAUUUUAUAUGCAUAAGCAAACAAAUUUGUGAGCUGACCCUUAUUUCAGAAUUGACAAUGGGAUAUUGAGGGCAUCACUCUAUAGUCUUUUUCAAUGUCACUUGGCC